AUUAUAAAUAAUUCUGUAUACUUCUGAAAUUUUAUAGAACUAACCGUUAGACUUUGAGUCAACUCGGAUAGGAUUUGAGUCAACUCGAGCUGUCUGCAAGUUCGCUUAAAUUUUUUUCUCAAAAAUCAGACUUUCUAUCUAUUUCUAAGAACUUCAGCUUGGAUAUUCGAGUCGACUCAAAGAUUUGUUCGAAUUUUUAUAAGUCUACUC
rnacentral:lncRNA from 1 species